rnacentral:rRNA from 1 species
GAUGAACGCUGGCGGCGUGCCUAAUACAUGCAAGUCGAGCGAACAGAUGAGGAGCUUGCUCCUCUGACGUUAGCGGCGGACGGGUGAGUAACACGUGGAUAACCUACCUAUAAGACUGGGAUAACUUCGGGAAACCGGAGCUAAUACCGGAUAAUAUAUUGAACCGCAUGGUUCAAUAGUGAAAGACGGUUUUGCUGUCACUUAUAGAUGGAUCCGCGCCGCAUUAGCUAGUUGGUAAGGUAAAGGCUUACCAAGGCGACGAUGCGUAGCCGACCUGAGAGGGUGAUCGGCCACACUGGAACUGAGACACGGUCCAGACUCCUACGGGAGGCAGCAGUAGGGAAUCUUCCGCAAUGGGCGAAAGCCUGACGGAGCAACGCCGCGUGAGUGAUGAAGGUCUUCGGAUCGUAAAACUCUGUUAUUAGGGAAGAACAAAUGUGUAAGUAACUAUGCACGUCUUGACGGUACCUAAUCAGAAAGCCACGGCUAACUACGUG